UACGUAGGGACCAAGCGUUGUUCGGAUUUACUGGGCGUAAAGGGCGCGUAGGCGGCGCGGUAAGUCACUUGUGAAAUCUCUGAGCUUAACUCAGAACGGCCAAGUGAUACUGCAGUGCUAGAGUGUGGAAGAGGCGAGUGGAAUUCCUGGUGUAGCGGUGAAAUGCGCAGAUAUCAGGAGGAACACCAAUGGCGAAGGCAGCUCGCUGGGACGGUACUGACGCUGAGACGCGAAAGCGUGGGGAGCGAACAGG
rnacentral:rRNA from 1 species